GACGAACGCUGGCGGCGUGCUUAACACAUGCAAGUCGAACGGAAAGGCCUUUUCGGAGGUACUCGAGUGGCGAACGGGUGAGUAACACGUGGGUGAUUUGCCUUGCACUCUGGGAUACGCCUGGGAAACUGGGUCUAAUACCGGAUAGGUCAGCACUUCAGUGUGUGUGGUGGGAAGUGUUUUAGGGGUAGGAUGAGCCCGUGGCCGUUCAGCUUGAUGGUGGGGUGAUGGCCUACCAAGGCUGCGGCGGGUCGGCGGGCGGGGAGGGUGGUCGGCCACAUAUGGGCGGAGAGAGAGCCCCGACUGCCACGGGAGGCAGGAAGGGGGGAGAUUGCACCAUGGGCGCGAGCCUGAUGCAGCGACGCCGGCGGGGGGAUGACGGCCUGCCGGUUGUAAACUCCUUUCGCCAGGGACGGAACGUGUUGUGACGGUACCUGGAGAAGAAGCACCGGCUAACUACGUG
rnacentral:rRNA from 1 species